UACGGAGGGUGCAAGCAUUAAUCGGAUUUAUUGGGCGUAAAGGGCGCGUAGGCGGGAGAAUAAGUCAGAUGUGAAAUCCCGAGGCUCAACCUCGGAACAGCAUUUGAAACUAUUUUUCUUGAGGAUAGGCGGAGAAAACGGAAUUCCACAUGUAGCGGUGAAAUGCGUAGAUAUGUGGAAGAACAUCGGUGGCGAAGGCGGUUUUCUAGCUUAUUCCUGACGCUGAGGCGCGAAAGCAAGGGGAUCAAACAGG
rnacentral:rRNA from 1 species